rnacentral:lncRNA from 1 species
AACUUCUGCCCAAAUGAGGUGUGUACAUAUUACGACGUAAUUUGUAAAGAUAAAAUAAAAAUAAGAUAAACAAAAAUCAUAAAAAUAAUAUUGAAGAUGAUAAUGACAAUGGUGACCAAAGGGUAUCUCGAAAAAAAAAAUAAAAUCAGAAGCCAUUUUUCCUGCGGAUAAAGACAAAAAAUAAUCAUAAUGGCUUGUCUCCUUUCAUUGUAAUAACGUCCAGUUGUGUAGAAGAUGCAGUAUUUUUUCAAUUAUGGAAUGUUUUUGUUCCAACUGAUUAGGUUGCUUGAAGGCCUAAAAUAAGAAACAUUCGCAUUUUUUUUGUGCACAUGAUAAAACAACUUCAUUAAUGAACGUGGAGCUACAAAUAUAGUUGGAAUUGCAUCAAUACUAAUUCAUCGUUUGGCUUGAGAUUAGUCUAUGAGAUGAUGUUUUCCUUCAAUGACGAACUCGAGUUCGUCAUACUUGGGUCAAGUACUUCUUAAAGUUUUUGAAUAUGGAAAUCCCUGACUUUUCCAUGCCUUUUCGAUGACACUCAGGCACAAAUUCUCACGAGCACACUUUAAACUGAAACCAAUCACCGAGAGUUCUCUCGAGAUUUGAAAAUAAUCGUAAAGAGAACCUAAAGACAGAAGUUUUGGUUCCUGUCCACAGAAUGUCUAAGUGCGGAAGAAAAUAAAGAUAAAAAAUAAUGACAGAAAAUUUUUUUUUGACGGAAAAAAGAAUUCGAAGGUUCCGUAGCAAAAAUUCCUGACGUUUCAAGGUUGGGCAAACUCACCCCACUUGUCCAGCUUUUCAAUUACUUCAAGAACUGCUCACCCUGGACUGUUCAUCAUGAACAGGGCUGCCGACACCUUUAAUCACGUUUAGCAAAUAUAUUUUAUUUACUCGCAGUAGCUGUAACUGUGCAGUAACUGUGAGUACACAGUUCUCAAGUUUUCUCGCUUGUUACUCACUGUUCUCGAUUUACUCUUUACUCGUUGUUUCCAAAUUGUAUUCACUUUCACUCACACUCGCUGUUCUCGGCUUUCUCUUUACUCACCGUCAUUUCUCGAUUAUAAUCACUAGUUACUCACAGUUUCUUUAGUUUAUUCACUCUUGACUCACUGAUCUCGAUUUACUCUUUACUCGUUGUUUCCAAAUUUUAUUCACUUUCACUCACACUCACUGUUCUCGGCUUACUCUUUACUCACCGCCGUUUCUCGAUUUUAAUCACUAGUUACUCACAGUUUCUUGAGUUUACUCACUCUUGACUCGCCGUUCAUGAUUUUACUCAGAUAUUACUCCUACAAAUCUCGCCGAACUGUUUCCGAUUUUACUCAUAUUUACUUACUGUUCUCGGCUUACUCUUUACUUGCCGUUUCUUGAUUUCACUAACUCUGUAUUCAUCAUUUCUCCAUUUUACUCACUAGGUCCUCGCCGUUUCUUGAUUUUACUCACUUUUUUCUCACCGUUCAUGAUUUUACUCACUUAUUACUUACACAAAUCUCGCCAGACAUGAAAUAAUUGGGGAUCAUUUCUCAUUUCAUUGAUCGCUUCGAUUCUUCUCGAGACACUACAAGAAAUUUACUCACGGACAGUCAGAUUGCCCGCGAAUUACUCACUCUACUCACGGGUUAACUCACUGAUGCUCAACUAACUCACAGUGAGAGUUAUCACGAAUCGGCAGCCCUGAUGAUCUUAAACAAAACGACUUAUUUUAAAACUUUAUGCGAAAGAGAAAAAAAGGGGCGAAAUAUUUCAUUGUUGCAGUAGCAGCAUCAU